rnacentral:rRNA from 1 species
UACAGAGGUUGCGAGCGUUAAUCGGAUUUACUGGGCGUAAAGCGUGUGUAGGUGGUUGUACAAGUCGGUUGUGAAAUCCCUGGGCUCAACCUGGGAACUGCUUCCGAGACUGUACGACUAGGAGAUCGGUAGAGGGCGGUGGAAUUUCCGGUGUAGCGGUGAAAUGCGUAGAUAUCGGAAGGAACACCAAUGGCGAAGGCAGCCGCCUGGGCCUGAUC